UACAGAGGGUGCGAACGUUGCUCGGAAUUACUGGGCGUAAAGCGCAUGUAGGCGGAUCCAUAAGUCGGGCGUGAAAUCCCCAGGCUCAACCUGGGAACUGCGCUCGAAACUGUGGGUCUUGAGUGUCGGAGAGGAUGGCGGAAUUCCUGGUGUAGAGGUGAAAUUCGUAGAUAUCAGGAGGAACACCGGUGGCGAAGGCGGCCAUCUGGACGACAACUGACGCUGAGAGUGCGAAAAGCGGUGGGGAGCAAACAGGG
rnacentral:rRNA from 1 species